GGGUGCAGCAGGCGCGAAAACUUUACAAUGCGGGAAACCGUGAUAAGGGGACACCGAGUGCCAGCAUCAUAUGCUGGCUGUCCAGGUGUGUAAAAUACACCUGUCAGCAAGGGCCGGGCAAGACCGGUGCCAGCCGCCGCGGUAACACCGGCGGCCCGAGUGGUGAUCGUGAUUAUUGGGUCUAAAGGGUCCGUAGCCGGUUUGGUCAGUCCUCCGGGAAAUCUGACGGCUCAACCGUUAGGCUUUCGGGGGAUACUGCCAGGCUUGGAACCGGGAGAGGUAAGAGGUACUACAGGGGUAGGAGUGAAAUCUUGUAAUCCCUGUGAGACCACCUGUGGCGAAGGCGUCUUACCAGAACGGGUUCGACGGUGAGGGACGAAAGCUGGGGGCACGAACCGGAUUAGAUACCCGGGUAGUCCCAGCCGUAAACGAUGCUCGCUAGGUGUCAGGCAUGGCGCGACCGUGUCUGGUGCCGCAGGGAAGCCGUGAAGCGAGCCACCUGGGAAGUACGGCCGCAAGGCUGAAACUUAAAGGAAUGG
rnacentral:rRNA from 1 species